GCCCGGGUAGCUCAGUUGGUAGAGCACGUGACUGAAAAUCACGGUGUCGGCGGUUCGAAUCCGUCCCCGGGCA
rnacentral:tRNA from 1 species